rnacentral:misc_RNA from 1 species
GAUGAAGAACGUAGCGAAAUGCGAUAAGUAAUGUGAAUUGCAGAAUUCAGUGAAUCAUCGAAUCUUUGAACGCACAUUGCGCCCCCUGGUAUUCCGGGGGGCAUGCCUGUUCGAGCGUCAUUUCACCACUCAAGCCUCGCUUGGUGUUGAGGCCUGCUGUCAAGGCAGCCUCUAAAAUCAGUGGCAGUGCUGUCAGGCUCUAAGCGUAGUAAAUCUAAUCGCUAUAGACACCUGGUGGACACUCGCCAGAACCCCCCCCAUUUUUUAAUGAUUGACCUCGGAUUAGGUAGGGAUACCCGCUGAACUUAAGCAUAUCAAUAAGCGGAGGA